GACUCAGGACCGUAGCUGCAACCUCGUUCAAGUAAUCCAGGAUAGGCUUUGUGGAUCUACUUCAGCCUAUCCUUGAUUACUUGCACUUGGCAGCAGCAACUAACCCACAAAGACUUCCUGAGGAG
rnacentral:miRNA from 1 species